rnacentral:rRNA from 1 species
AUUGAACGCUGGCGGAAUGCUUUACACAUGCAAGUCGAACGACAGCACGGACUUCGGUCUGGUGGCGAGUGGCGAACGGGUGAGUAAUACAUCGGAACGUGCCCAGUCGUGGGGGAUAACGUAGCGAAAGCUACGCUAAUACCGCAUACGAUCUAAGGAUGAAAGCGGGGGAUCGCAAGACCUCGCGCGACUGGAGCGGCCGAUGGCAGAUUAGGUAGUUGGUGGGGUAAAGGCUCACCAAGCCGACGAUCUGUAGCUGGUCUGAGAGGACGACCAGCCACACUGGGACUGAGACACGGCCCAGACUCCUACGGGAGGCAGCAGUGGGGAAUUUUGGACAAUGGGCGAAAGCCUGAUCCAGCCAUUCCGCGUGCAGGAUGAAGGCCCUCGGGUUGUAAACUGCUUUUGUACGGAACGAAAAGGCUCUGGUUAAUACCUGGGGCUCAUGACGGUACCGUAAGAAUAAGCACCGGCUAACUACGUGCCAGCCGCCGCAGUAACAC